rnacentral:rRNA from 1 species
UGGGGAAUCUUCCGCAAUGGACGAAAGUCUGACGGAGCAACGCCGCGUGAGUGAAGACGGCCGUCGGGUUGUAAAGCUCUGUGAUCCGGGACGAAAGAGCCUGAGGUAAAUAGCCUAAGGAAGUGACGGUACCGGAAAAGCAAGCCACGGCUAACAACGUGCCAGCAGCCGCGGUAAUACGUAGGUGGCAAGCGUUGUCCGGUAUUAUUGGGCGUAAAGCGCGCGCAGGCGGCUUCCUAAGUCCAUCUUAAGAGUGCGGGGCUUAACCCCGUGAAUGGGUGGAAAGUGGGAAGCUGGAGUAUCGGGGAGGGAAGUGGAAUUCCUAGUGUGGCGGUGAAAUGCGUAGAGAUUAGGAAGACCACCGGUGGCGAAGGCGACUUUCUGGACAAAAACUGACGCUGAGGCGCGAAAGCGUGGGGAGCAAGCAGG